rnacentral:rRNA from 1 species
UACGUAGGGGGCUAGCGUUGUCCGGAAUCAUUGGGCGUAAAGAGCGUGUAGGCGGCCCGGUAAGUCCGCUGUGAAAGUCGGGGGCUCAACCCUCGAAUGCCGGUGGAUACUGUCGGGCUAGAGUGCGGAAGAGGCGAGUGGAAUUCCUGGUGUAGCGGUGAAAUGCGCAGAUAUCAGGAGGAACACCGGUGGCGAAGGCGGGUCUCUGGGCAACAACUGACGCUGGAGGAGCGAAAGCGUGGGGAGCGAACAGG